CUCACAGUACUCUCCUAAGCCCUGUCCUCCCUGACAACUUAGUUGCUUUAUCUUUCCAGGAGCACCCUCACAUUCCUAUAUUGUGCACACUCAAGACAAUUUCCCAGUGUCCACUUCCUGGCUGAAUCAAUUUCCACAACCAUGACGUGUAACUCCAGCUCAUCUCACCAAAGGGCAUUUUAGCAAGUCACUGCAGAUGCUGCAACUCGGAAAAACACGUUUAGUUAGGAUCUGAUGAGUCUUCUCCAUUAGAUAAAUGUUGUGAGGUGGAACUUACUGUAAUUUCCUUCUCUCCACCCAAGAUCUAAAAUUUUUCUCUGAGUUGGCUCCCUCUCUACCUUCAGUCUCCCUUCCUGGAAGAUUUACCCCAGCAAGGAUGUCUUCUUUCAGAUGGAUAUGAGUUGGCCAUACUCAAGAACCUGAAGGUGCUCAGGAUCUGCUUCAUGAUCUCCGUGGCUAUCCCUUUCACUUUCCGGAGGUGCCUUCUAGACAUCUUGACAUCGUGGUGAAGAUGGAAAGAGUGUUUUACUAGACAUGCCAAGAAAGGCUCUCCCAGUUCAAGUUUGCUUGUUUGGUUGUUUUUUUGUUUUGUUUUUUGUUCGUUUGAGAGACAGACCUUUUUACCAAGGUGGCUAACACAAAGAAUUAACUUGUCCAGCUGAGAACUCACCCCUGAGUCACAGAGGUUUAUGUUACUCUGGUUAACUCAAACAUAGAACCACAACUAAGCAAACCGCAACAACUGCGGCAUUCAUAAAACAAGAAUCAUGCUUAGGCAGUCAUUUAAGUGGGCUCAUCACAGGACAGUAAAUAAUGACAAAAGAAAGCAGGGUGUGGAAGGGAAUUGUGAUGUUAAUAACUCGUACAAUGCUUAAAUGCAUGCCCGGCACUGUUCUAAAUUAAAUCCUUCAAUGAUCACUACAACUUUGUUAGGUAAUGACACAUAUCCCUCAUUUUAUGAAUGGGGAAACUAAGGCACAGCAAAGCUAGAUAACUUGUUUGAGAUCACACAAUCGGUGGCAAUGCUGGAAUUUGAACCCAGAGAAUCUGGUGUAACAGUUCACACUCAAGCCACCACUUUGAGAGGAAUCAAGGGAAAAAGAAGAGAGAUCUAAGAGAAUAAAAAGGGGAGGAAGGAGGAGGAAAAACUCAGCUCACUAACACCUGAAGGCAAUUGCUACAUGGUACCCAGCCUCCUUUUUCAGGCCCACACCCAGGUCUUUGCAGUCCCCACCUCUACCUCUGUUAUCAAGCUUCCUAAAAUGACAUGAUUUGGGGAUAAGUGU
rnacentral:lncRNA from 1 species